AGCAGCCGCGGUAAUUCCAGCUCCAAUAGCGUAUAUUAAAGUUGUUGCAGUUAAAAAGCUCGUAGUUGAAUUUCGGGAUUAAUUUAUUGGUCGUGCUAUUGUACGUACUGGUAUUAUUGAUUCCUACCUUCUGACGAACCACGAUGUCAUUAAUUUGGUGUCAUGGGGAAUCAGGACUGUUACUUUGAAAAAAUUAGAGUGUUUAAAGCAGGCUCACGCUUGAAUACAUUAGCAUGGAAUAACGAAAUAGGACGUUUGAUUCUAUUUUGUUGGUUUCUAGGAUCGACGUAAUGAUUAAUAGGGAUAGUUGGGGGCAUUAGUAUUCAAUUGUCAGAGGUGAAAUUCUUGGAUUUAUUGAAGACUAACUACUGCGAAAGCAUUUGCCAAGGAUGUUUUCAUUAAUCAAGAACGAAAGUUAGGGGAUCGAAGACGAUCAGAUACCGUCGUAGUCUUAACCAUAAACUAUGCCGACUAGGGAUCGGAUGAUGUUUAAUUUUU
rnacentral:rRNA from 1 species